rnacentral:pre_miRNA from 1 species
GGGAGGCGCUGGAUCUUGGGCUGUGUCCCCCGGCGCCCUGGGCUCUGGGGCCUGUGCCACUGGAAUUGCGCUCCCAGGGCAGUGCAGCCUCCU